rnacentral:rRNA from 1 species
AUACGUAGGGAGCGAGCGUUGUCCGGAUUUACUGGGUGUAAAGGGUGCGUAGGCGGCUCUGCAAGUCAGGUGUGAAAACCAUCGGCUUAACUGAUGGACUGCAUUUGAAACUGUGGGGCUUGAGUGGAGUAGAGGCAGGCGGAAUUCCCGGUGUAGCGGUGAAAUGCGUAGAGAUCGGGAGGAACACCAGUGGCGAAGGCGGCCUGCUGGGCUUUAACUGACGCUGAGGCACGAAAGCAUGGGUAGCAAACAGGAUUAGAUACCCUGGUAGUCCAUGCCGUAAACGAUGAUUACUAGGUGUGGGUGGUCUGACCCCAUCCGUGCCGGAGUUAACACAAUAAGUAAUCCACCUGGGAAGUACGACCGCAAGGUUGAA